AUGCUCACUUUGGCAGCACAUACACUAAAACUGGAAUGAUACAGAGAGGAUUAGCACGAUCCCUGUGCAAGUAUGAUACACAAAUUUGUGACGUGGUCCAAAAAUUA
rnacentral:snRNA from 1 species